rnacentral:lncRNA from 1 species
AAUGUUAAGUAUGGAUUUUACUUAACAUUGAUAUGAGGCGCCUCAUAACAGUGAUAUGAGGAACUACACAUAUGAAAACUUUGAUCUUUAAAACAAACAGGAUGGAAUACUCUACAUUAGCCCUUUAGGUAUACAAGGUGUUUGGGAAAUGAGACAUUAAAGUUUUAAUCUGCCUCCCUCCCAGAUUGCUAACCUCUUUUCCUUUUUCCCCUUACCUUACAAAAAUCAUAUGAAGAUCCCAUAGACCCUUCACUGGCUUAUAAAUGCAUGCCUAACUGAAUCCCUCUCUCUUUUGUGACUGACUGUCUGCAGACAUGUCACAUCUUCAAAUUGUG